rnacentral:rRNA from 1 species
AUUGAACGCUGGCGGCAUGCCUUACACAUGCGAGUCGAACGGUAACAGGUCUUCGGAUGCUGACGAGUGGCGAACGGGUGAGUAAUACAUCGGAACGUGCCCAAGAGUGGGGGAUAACGGAGCGAAAGCUUUGCUAAUACCGCAUACGAUCUACGGAUGAAAGCAGGGGACCGCAAGGCCUUGCGCUCAUGGAGCGGCCGAUGGCAGAUUAGGUAGUUGGUGGGAUAAAAGCUUACCAAGCCGACGAUCUGUAGCUGGUCUGAGAGGACGACCAGCCACACUGGGACUGGGACACGGCCCAGACUCCUACGGGAGGCAGCAGUGGGGAAUUUUGGACAAUGGGCGCAAGCCUGAUCCAGCCAUGCCGCGUGCAGGAUGAAGGCCUUCGGGUUGUAAACUGCUUUUGUACGGAACGAAAAGCCUCUUUCGAAUAAAGAGAGGUCAUGACGGUACCGUAAGAAUAAGCACCGGCUAACUACGUGCCAGCCGCCGCAGUAAGAC